UGAGAGUAUGUGGCGAAUAAGCAUCGGCUAACUCCGUGCCAGCAGCCGCGGUAAUACGGAGGAUGCAAGCGUUAUCCGGAUUUAUUGGGUUUAAAGGGUGCGUAGGCGGACGCGUAAGUCAGCGGUGAAAUAUCCCGGCUCAACCGGGAGGCUGCCGUUGAUACUGCGCGACUAGAGUCCGAACGGCGCUGGCGGAAUAUGUAAUGUAGCGGUGAAAUGCAUAGAUAUUACAUAGAACACCGAUCGCGAAGGCAGCUGGCGAGGACGGCACUGACGCUGAGGCACGAAGGCGUGGGGAUCAAACAGGAUUAGAUACCCUG
rnacentral:rRNA from 1 species